rnacentral:rRNA from 1 species
GAUGAACGCUGGCGGCGUGCCUAAUACAUGCAAGUCGAGCGAACAGAUAAGGAGCUUGCUCCUUUGACGUUAGCGGCGGACGGGUGAGUAACACGUGGAUAACCUACCUAUAAGACUGGGAUAACUUCGGGAAACCGGAGCUAAUACCGGAUAACAUAUUGAACCGCAUGGUUCAAUAGUGAAAGGCGGCUUUGCUGUCACUUAUAGAUGGAUCCGCGCCGUAUUAGCUAGUUGGUAAGGUAACGGCUUACCAAGGCAACGAUACGUAGCCGACCUGAGAGGGUGAUCGGCCACCCUGGAACUGAGACACGGUCCAGACUCCUACGGGAGGCAGCAGUAGGGAAUCUUCCGCAAUGGGCGAAAGCCUGACGGAGCAACGCCGCGUGAGUGAUGAAGGUCUUCGGAUCGUAAAACUCUGUUAUCAGGGAAGAACAAAUGUGUAAGUAACUGUGCACAUCUUGACGGUACCUGAUCAGAAAGCCACGGCUAACUACGUG